rnacentral:rRNA from 1 species
UACGAAGGGUGCAAGCGUUGCUCGGAAUUAUUGGGCGUAAAGGGUAGGUAGGUGGUUACGUAUGUCUGAGGUGAAAGCCCCGAGCUUAACUUGGGAAGUGCCUUGGAAACGGCGUAACUAGAGUACUAGAGAGGUUUGUGGAAUUCCCGGUGUAGCGGUGAAAUGCGUAGAGAUCGGGAGGAACAUCAGAGGCGAAGGCGACAAACUGGACAGUAACUGACACUAAACUACGAAAGCGUGGGUAGCAAACAG